rnacentral:tRNA from 2 species
CGGGGUGUAGCUCAGCUUGGCUAGAGCGCUUGGUUCGGGACCAAGAGGCCCCGAGUUCGAAUCUCGGCACCCCGA